rnacentral:tRNA from 1 species
GCUGAAAUAGCAAAGUGGUUAAUGCAAAAGACUUAGGUAUUUUUCAUCGAAGGUUCAACUCCUCCUUUCAGCU